UUUGAUCAUUGGCUCAUGAUUGAACGCUGGCGGCAGGCCUAACACAUGCAAGUCGAACGGUAACAUUUCUAGCUUGCUAGAAGAUGACGAGUGGCGGACGGGUGAGUAAUACUUAGGAAUAUGCCUUUGUGUGGGGGAUAACUAUUGGAAACGAUAGCUAAUACCGCAUAAUGUCUUCGGACCAAAGGGGGCUUCGGCUCCCGCGCAAAGAGUAGCCUAAGCGAGAUUAGCUUGUUGGUGAGGUAAAGGCUCACCAAGGCGACGAUCUCUAGCUGUUCUGAGAGGAAGAUCAGCCACACUGGAACUGAGACACGGUCCAGACUCCUACGGGAGGCAGCAGUGGGGAAUAUUGCACAAUGGGGGAAACCCUGAUGCAGCCAUGCCGCGUGUGUGAAGAAGGCCUUCGGGUUGUAAAGCACUUUCAGUUGUGAGGAAAGGUUAACGGUUAAUACCCGUUAGCUGUGACGUUAGCAACAGAAGAAGGACCGGCUAACUCCGUGCCAGCAGCCGCGGUAAUACGGAGGGUCCGAGCGUUAAUCGGAAUUACUGGGCGUAAAGCGCACGCAGGCGGUUUGUUAAGCUAGAUGUGAAAGCCCUGGGCUCAACCUGGGAAUUGCAUUUAGAACUGGCAGGCUAGAGUUUUGGAGAGGGGAGUGGAAUUCCAGGUGUAGCGGUGAAAUGCGUAGAUAUCUGGAGGAACAUCAGUGCCGAAGGCGACUCCCUGGUCAGUNACUGACGCUCAUGUGCG
rnacentral:rRNA from 1 species